GUAACGAGCGCAACCCUUGUCCUUAGUUACCAGCACGUUAUGGUGGGGCACUCUAAGGAGACUGCCGGUGACAAACCGGAGGAAGGUGGGGAUGACGUCAAGUCAUCAUGGCCCUUACGGCCUGGGCUACACACGUGCUACAAUGGUCGGUACAAAGGGUUGCCAAGCCGCGAGGUGGAGCUAAUCCCAUAAAACCGAUCGUAGUCCGGAUCGCAGUCUGCAACUCGACUGCGUGAAGUCGGAAUCGCUAGUAAUCGUGAAUCAGAAUGUCACGGUGAAUACGUUCCCGGGCCUU
rnacentral:rRNA from 1 species